GUUUUUGACAAGCAAUAUAUAUAUAUAAAAAUUGGAACGAUACAGAGAAGAUCAACAUGGCCACUACGCAAGGAUGACAAAUUCGGGAAGCGCUCCAUAUUUUU